GAUUUGCAGCAGAAACACCCUGCUAAAGAACAAGUAUCUUGGUUCCCAGCAAAGAGGACAAAGGAAAACAGCAAGUUAUAGGGAGUUGAAUGCUGGAUUGUGUACAAUAUGGUGAUUCAAGUCUAUUCCUUACUCAGUGCUCAUCAUGGGUCAAGAGAAGAUUGUGGUGAAAAUGGGAGAGCAGAGGGAUGGACUUCAGGACCCUCCUGACGGCGUUCCAGGGGAUGACUUCACUCCCAGCGGAGAGACUGCAGGCCAGGUCUCAAGGCUCGCUCAGCUAGAAUUGUGAAUUGCUGAACUGGACAGCCCUGGGCUAUGAAUACCCAUGAUUCUUAUUUGGAUUGCUUAAAGGUUUUAUCAUAAGACAGUCAGUUGAAAUAAGGGUGAAAAAGGCCUAAUUCAGAAGACCCCCACAGCUAGAAGGAUCCUUCUUCAGCUGUUGUAAAAUCUCCAUAUUAGGUUUUGACAACGCUGACAAUAUAGUUUGAAGAAUGUU